rnacentral:SRP_RNA from 1 species
UCGUGCUAGACGGGGAACUAGCGGUGCCCUGAACCCGCAAUCCGCUAUAGCGGGGUUGAAUUCCUUUCCGAGGCUCGACUUCUAGGGAGGCAGGGGGCGAAAGACGGCGUCGAUGGUCAGGUCCCGCGCGAUGGGGACCCGUGAACCCCGUCAGGACCGGAAGGUAGCAGCGGUAAGCGGACUCUUCCAUGCGCCGCGGGCUCGCUUGGCCUGAGCCGGCCUCUCGCCUUACGCUCCCGGGGAGCGGGUCGACGAAAGGUGCACGA